GAUGAACGCUGGCGGCGUGCCUAAUACAUGCAAGUCGAGCGAAUGGAUUAAGAGCUUGCUCUUAUGAAGUUAGCGGCGGACGGGUGAGUAACACGUGGGUAACCUGCCCAUAAGACUGGGAUAACUCCGGGAAACCGGGGCUAAUACCGGAUAACAUUUUGAACCGCAUGGUUCGAAAUUGAAAGGCGGCUUCGGCUGUCACUUAUGGAUGGACCCGCGUCGCAUUAGCUAGUUGGUGAGGUAACGGCUCACCAAGGCAACGAUGCGUAGCCGACCGGAGAGGGUGAUCGGCCACACUGGGACUGAGACACGGCCCAGAUUCCUACGGGAGGCGGCAGUAGGGAAUCUUCCGCAAUGGACGAAAGUCUGACGGAGCAACGCCGCGUGAGUGAUGAAGGCUUUCGGGUCGUAAAACUCUGUUGUUAGGGAAGAACAAGUGCUAGUUGAAUAAGCUGGCACCUUGGCGGUACCUAACCAGAAAGCCACGGCUAACUACGUGCCAGCCGCCGCCGUAA
rnacentral:rRNA from 1 species